CAGGUUAAUCUUAAUAGUUGAGGAUUUUAUUUACAUUAAAAUUUUAAUCGUGCAAUUCGAUAUAACUUGA
rnacentral:tRNA from 1 species